UGGGGAAUUUUGCACAAUGGGGGAAACCCUGAUGCAGCGACGCCGCGUGAUUUAGAAGGCCUUCGGGUUGUAAAAAUCUUUUUUAUGGGAUGAAAAUGACAGUACCAUAAGAAUAAGGUCCGGCUAAAUACGUGCCAGCAGCCGCGGUAAUACGUAUGUCGCGAGCGUUAUCCGGAAUUAUUGGGCUUAAAGGGCAUCUAGGCGGUUAAACAAGUUGAAGGUGAAAACCUGUGGCUCAACCAUAGGCUUGCCUACAAAACUGUAUAACUAGAGUACUGGAAAGGUGGGUGGAACUACACGAGUAGAGGUGAAAUUCGUAGAUAUGUGUAGGAAUGCCGAUGAUGAAGAUAACUCACUGGACAGCAACUGACGCUGAAGUGCGAAAGCUAGGGGAGCAAACAGG
rnacentral:rRNA from 1 species